GGCUUAUUGAGUUUUAUUUUAGGUCUAGCCUGCCCAAUGAGUAUUUUAAUGGCCGCGGUAUACUGACCGUGCAAAGGUAGCAUAAUCAUUAGUUUUUUAAUUGAAAGCUGGAAUGAAAGGUUUGAUGAAAAAUUAGCUGUCUCUAUAUAAAUUUUAUAGAAUUUUAUUUUUAAGUUAAAAAGCUUAAAUGUCUAUAGAAGACGAGAAGACCCUAUAGAGUUUAAUGUUCACAUGUAAUAAAAAUUUUUAGAAUUUUAAGUUUUUUUUAUUUUUGUAUAUUUUGUUGGGGUGAUAGAAAAAUUUGUUAAACUUUUUUUUUAUUUUUACAUUGAUUUAUGAUUUUUUUGAUCCUAAGUUUUAGAUUAAAAGAGUAAAUUACCUUAGGGAUAACAGCGUAAUUUUUUUUAGAGUUCUUAUUGAAAAAAAGGAUUGCGACCUCGAUGUUGGAUUAAAUUAAAUUCUUGGUGUAGAAGCUAGGAAGGUGAGUCUGUUCGACUUUUAAAAUUUUACAUGAUCUGAGUUUAAACCGGUGUAAG
rnacentral:rRNA from 1 species